GUCCACGCCGUAAACGAUGGGUGCUAGGUGUCGCGGGCUUUGACUCCUGCGGUGCCGUAGCUAACGCAUUAAGCACCCCGCCUGGGAAGUACGGCCGCAAGGCUAAAACUCAAAGGAAUUGACGGGGGCCCCGCACAAGCGGUGGAGCAUGUGGUUUAAUUCGACGCAACGCGAAGAACCUUACCUGGGCUAGAAAAUGCAAGAACCUGGGAGAAGUCUCGGGGUGCUCUUCGUAGAGCUUGUAGUUAGGUGCUGCAUGGCUGUCGU
rnacentral:rRNA from 1 species